AAUUGCUAGAAAAUUAUUGACUAAAGGAAGUCCAGUGGAAGAACCACAUUGUUCAUGAUGGAAAAGAGGAAAACUUUCUUUUUGGCUAUCUUGACUACUGGCUAUUUCUCUUGUAAGGAUUAGUCUAAGAACAUUAGGGAGGGAGUAAGCAUUUUGAUUUUCAAGGGAACCAACAAGCCAACAAGACUAUGUUUUCUAAAUAUAGGGAUUUAAAAAAUCUCUUAGGUUUCUGACAGAUGAGAUUCACUACCUCAACUAAAAUGACUACCUGUUGAAUCGAUAUUUUACUGUUCCAAGAACUUUAUCAAAUAGGUUCAGACCUGGGAUUUUUAAGAGAUGUUUUUGCUGAAAUUACAUUUAAGGACAUGGAGUGUGAUUACUAUAUAGAUAUGGCAUAUCAGGAGAAACGUGUAUGUUCCAUAAGAGUCAGUCCAAUUUGUGCCUCUAAUAACAUUACAUAUCCUAAUUCCUGUGUGCUCUGCUUUGUUAAACUAGCCACCAACUUCAACGUUAAAAUUAAACACAGUGGGAAAUGCAAACCAUGAUGUGCAUUUUCUUCAUUUGUCAUGAGUGAACCCAUUUGACUUAGGCAUCAUCCUUCCUUCAAAACUCAAAAUGUUUGUAUCACUUUAAUUAAAACAAUACCAAUAAAUGUUA